GGUGUCCCUCCCCAUGGCAAGAGAGACUGGAAUAAGGUGUUCUUUAAAGUGCCUUCCCGCCCAAACCAUUCUAUGUUUCUAUGACAAGUACUCCAAACCAGUAAGUUCCAGGGACACUUGGCAGUAACAUGGCACUUGUUAAGAGGUGGGGGGUUGUGAAACUUUUUUGCUAAACUAGUAAAACUUAAAUGAAGGGAAUUAUAUCUCUCGUUGCUAUAUCCCUCAAGGACAGAGAGGGGGUUGGAGAUAACCUUCAGGGAAGGCAGAGGGCAGGAUUGCACUGACCCCAAAGGAUGCUGGAUGUGGUCCCUGAAGCCGUGGCUGCCGCGAUGCCUCGUUGCUGCGGGGAGCAGAGCUGCUGCAGAAGGAAAGAGGUUUGGUUCUCGGUGCUCCUGUGUCCGGAAAGGGAGAGUGGAGAGCGCGGAGCCGAGUUGGAUCGGGCUCCCUACCCCAACAGGGUGACCUGAUAAAUUGCCACCAGUCAGCUGAACCUCAGUAACGGCCUCUCGGCUCGCAGCUAAAAUUAGCUGAAAUGGCACGAAGAGAAUUGCUGAAACCUCCACGAAAGUGAUUUAAGCCGAAGCACGUGACCUCGCAUUUGUCACGGGCCGGAGCACGCGCAGGCCUGCUGGCACAGCGCAGGUGAUGUGCAGGAGCGUGUUAAGCCGAGGAGUCUCGAUCUGAAAAAACCUAUUUGUGAAGCUGGAUAUCCAGAGCCAGUAGUAGCUUUGGUGACUGAACCCCAGGUGGUUUUCUGUUGAUUCAGAACUUCAGCAAGUCCUACUAAUUGCAAGUCCUGCCCUUGCAGUGAAGCUUUGCCUCACUCACCAUUUCCAGGCUUCAAGAUUUGGGUACUGUUACCUGUCAUUUCUGCUUCUAAAAGGACUCUGGAGACUGGGAGUUUGGGAGCGUUCUUCUAACCCCUGGGGAUUUUGUGCAUAUGUGUUAUCCUUUCCAUAAAAGAAUCAAUCUGGUGGUCAGGCCCCAAAAUGCUUGAGUAUUUAUUUAAAAGUAAAAUAAAAAGCUGCAGCAAAUAGGGGCUGAUGUCUUAAGGGCUGGGAGAAAAAGAAGGAAGAAUGGGUGUGUCCAUGUGUUACACAUCUACAGGUUCAUGUGGCAUCCUACAAGGUGAAGGAAAGUCGGUAGCAUAUGCCUGUGGUUAUUGUAUUUGCUUCUCAGUUAUCAUAUGAGGCCUAAAUUAGGAUGUCAAUAAAAUAUUCCAU